UUUUCUUACAAAAUUGACCAAGUAUAUUUUUUGGUUGACUGUUCCUAGGAUUAAAGUUUGGGAUACAUUUCACCAUAAACACAAGAUUAUUCCAGGUUAUGAAAGUCUUCAACUCACUAUAAACAGCAAACUGCAUAUGUUAGAAGGAGGGGCAAAAGCAGUACUACUUGCAGGGAGUAAGAAAAAAUGGGAGGCCUGCAUUCCUGCACCAAAUGUUCUAGGAACAGCUUGUUGAGGUGAAGUAAGGCUUGUGGGACUUGGACGACUGUUCAGUUAUGUCUGUCUUUACACCUCACAGCAAGAUCUCCUGCCUAACAGUAGCUCUGGACAGGAAGACAAUUCUUGUGGGUAUGAGUGACAGCCCUGCUCUUAUCAUCUUGAAAAAAAAUAGAGUGCCAAAGUCACUGUGAAUUCUACUGAUAGACUUAUUUGGAGAAGAAUCUACUAGCAGUGAGGAAGAAUCUGAAGAAAACUAGAGAGCAACGAUUAAGGAAUCUAAAGAUAUUGAUACUUAAACAUUUAGUAUAUCUGAAUUAUCUACACCCAUACACUAGUAGAGCCAGGAUUUCAACCAAUUUGUCUUUGCCUUUGAGACUAAUAAUGCAACACUUAAAAAUCACAUUCAUCUAAUGACCAGAAGUUGUUGCGGCUCCAGUUACGUACAAUGCAUUUUAAAACUAGUCAAUUGAAGUAGGUAGUUACACCAGGGAUGCAUCUGGCUUCCACAAUUCAGCAAAUGUAUUCUUGCAUAACAAUAGUAGUCACACAUAUCCCAGUCCAUUAAUCCUUAGACAUGUGACAAGAUCUGAAAAAAGAGAAUUACUCCUGUGAGUAAGCGUGACAGAGAGGCCUACUGAUGGUUCACUACUGUGUCAGCGCUUGUCAGAUCUGACAUACUCACUGUCCC